AAACACGAUUCUGUUCUUUCUCUUCUCAGAGCCAGGACUAUGUCAUACCAUUGAUUAAUAAGCCUGAUGCUAAGUGGAUUUUGUUACUACGGACCAUGGAUAUCACACUGAAGUGAACACUACUACUGAAUAACCAGUGUUCACCAGCAAGACAACGGGAGAAAUCUCUGCACUAUGAACCUUCUUUUCCACUCAUGUUUUAUGGAGCAGCUCGUGCAAAGAGUUCAGUCAGAUGACUAAUCUACAGUGACCUGGUUGGAAUUGUGACCCCCACAAGCAGGU
rnacentral:lncRNA from 1 species